rnacentral:tRNA from 1 species
UCUUAUAUAGUUUAAUCUAUAAAACAUUAAUUUUGUAAAUUAAAAAUAUUUUAUUAUAUUUAAUUAUAAGAU